GUUAAAUUGGCAGAAUAGUGCGUUAAAUUUAGAAUUUAAUAAUGUAAUUUUUAUUAUAUUUAAUA
rnacentral:tRNA from 1 species